rnacentral:rRNA from 1 species
UACGGGGGGGGCAAGCGUUGUUCGGAAUUACUGGGCGUAAAGGGUUCGUAGGUGGCCUACUAAGUCAGACGUGAAAUCCCUCAGCUUAACUGGGGAACUGCGUCUGAGACUGGAAGGCUCGAGUGCAGGAGAGGAACGCGGAAUUCCAGGUGUAGCGGUGAAAUGCGUAGAUAUCUGGAGGAACACCGGUGGCGAAGGCGGCGUUCUGGACUGCAACUGACACUGAGGAACGAAAGCCAGGGGAGCAAACGGG